AUGCAUAGGAAACUGCCCAGUAGUGGGGGAUAGCCCGGGGAAACCCGGAUUAAUACCGCGUACGCCCUUCGGGGGAAAGCAGGGGAUCUUCGGACCUUGCGCUAUUGGAUGUGCCUAUGUCGGAUUAGCUAGUUGGUGGGGUAAAGGCCUACCAAGGCGACGAUCCGUAGCUGGUCUGAGAGGAUGAUCAGCCACAUCGGGACUGAGACACGGCCCGAACUCCUACGGGAGGCAGCAGUGGGGAAUAUUGGACAAUGGGGGCAACCCUGAUCCAGCCAUGCCGCGUGUGUGAAGAAGGCUUUCGGGUUGUAAAGCACUUUCAGUGAGGAGGAAAAGUUGGUCGUUAAUACCGGCCAGCCUUGACGUUACUCACAGAAGAAGCACCGGCUAACUCCGUGCCAGCAGCCGCGGUAAUACGGAGGGUGCAAGCGUUAAUCGGAAUUACUGGGCGUAAAGCGCGCGUAGGUGGUUUGAUAAGCGAGAUGUGAAAGCCCCGGGCUUAACCUGGGAACGGCAUUUCGAACUGUCAGGCUAGAGUAUGGUAGAGGAGUGUGGAAUUUCCUGUGUAGCGGUGAAAUGCGUAGAUAUAGGAAGGAACACCAGUGGCGAAGGCGGCACUCUGGACC
rnacentral:rRNA from 1 species